rfam:Rattus norvegicus chromosome 8, whole genome shotgun sequence.
GGGGAUUUAGCUCAGUGGUAGAGUGCUUGCCUAGCAAGCACAAGGCCCUGGGUUUAGUCCCCA